rnacentral:lncRNA from 1 species
UAUACUCCAAACUUUCUGCAACUGUGAUGUUAAAACUCCAUUCUAUAGGUUUGAUUUCUCAAGACAUGAAAUUUUUAACUGAGUUUUGGUCCAUAAUAAUCCAUGUACAACAUGUUUUAAUAAAUAUAUUUUUAAAACGGAAGCAAGCACUAAAGAAGACAACAACGUUACAAAUUGAAGCAGAAAUUUAACAAAUCAUUUUGACGAUUGGAUAUGAAUCGCAGAAAAGCACCAUUAUUGAAUGUUUAUGAAUCAAAUCUUUGUAUUGUAAUUAGGGAUGCACCGAACGUUCGGCUGUUUUGCCGAACGUUCGGUUCGGCCGAACCUUGACAAAUGUUCGGCCGAACAUUUGCUAAAAAUGCUAAUUUGGAAAUUAAUAUCAUCAAAUCAUCAUAACUCAGCCUAAAUAGCUACAGUACCAACAGAUUUGGCUUUUUAUUGAAAACCCGAAACUUAUCUACAACGCAUAGUAG